rnacentral:rRNA from 1 species
AGUGAACGCUGGCGGUAGGCCUAACACAUGCAAGUCGAACGGCAGCACAGUAAGAGCUUGCUCUUACGGGUGGCGAGUGGCGGACGGGUGAGGAAUACAUCGGAAUCUACUUUUUCGUGGGGGAUAACGUAGGGAAACUUACGCUAAUACCGCAUACGACCUACGGGUGAAAGCAGGGGAUCUUCGGACCUUGCGCGAUUGAAUGAGCCGAUGUCGGAUUAGCUAGUUGGCGGGGUAAAGGCCCACCAAGGCGACGAUCCGUAUCUGGUCUGAGAGGAUGAAUAGCCACACUGGAACUGAGACAAGGUCCAGACUCCUACGGGAGGCAGCAGUGGGGAAUAUUGGACAAUGGGCGCAAGCCUGAUCCAGCCAUACCGCGUGGGUGAAGAAGGCCUUCGGGUUGUAAAGCCCUUUUGUUGGGAAAGAAAAGCAGCAGGUUAAUACCCCGCUGUUCUGACGGUACCCAAAGAAUAAGCACCGGCUAACUUCGUG